CCCCAACCCCUCAAUGCCCAUUUGGAGAGAUCUGCAACUAUUCAAGAUUUCUUUUCAGAUUGAAGAUUCUCAGAAAUGGAAUACCACUCCCCUCCCUCUCUCCUCAUCCCUAUAUUUACCACAUUUUCCCUAAAUAAAUGUGUACUUUACUCAAA